AAAACGAACAAAAAAAACCAUGUCGGCGGUGUGGGACAGACAACACGUCGCCGUUUUUUUACGAUCAUUGGGCUCUAACUUGUCAACUCAAAUGCGACCGGAUACACUCGUUACCGUGGCGACGACAGCAAGCGUGGAGCGAGCCGACGGUAUUAUAAGGACAAAAUGGGGAAAAACGUGCGUUGGUGGUCACCGGUGCUCAGGACAGGAGAGGACGUUCGUUUAAGGCUUGCUUGUUACCCACACACUUCCUGCCUGACUUCCUGGACGCCCACCAAAACCUUCCAGGGCUCAUUAUGCCGGCUCGCUGCAUGGGAACGAGCGGGAGCGAUAAAACCAGGAGGCGCUUUGCAGCGGUGGGGGUGUAACGGCAUCUGUUGGCCUCUAAGUGGCUGGCACGAGUACUCAGGCGUGGAGAAUCCCCUAUCAGGCUGCAGCGUUGAAUGAGGCUCUCCGGAAAACCCCCGACACUCCUCCAGUCACGGCAACAUCCUUUAAGUCGGUUGCACACUGAUCCACGCGGCCGAACAAGAACUCACUUCACUCGCGAUUGGAGAUUUGAGGACAGCUUCCAUCUUGGAUUUGAAUGAAGUGGCUGGUGUCCUAAUAGGAUGGAAAUAUGAAGAAGAAUAGUGAGGGGCGCUACUGAUCUCGCUAAAGUGACCUGGAUGGACGUCAAGCGAGGUUUAUCAUGCUAGCGAGUGGCGACCAUUGAGAGCAACGACAAAACACCAGCGCUGGCGGCAUCAGAUCCGGGAUUCGGCCCGGCUCCUCUUCCUUCAGUGGAUCCGGGCUGGCAGUCACGUGGGGAGGAGGCCAUGCAACUGCGAGCUCGACGACUCGGCAUCCAGGUACGCAACUGACGUAUGACAGGCCGGCUAUGUUUGUACUGCGGGCUACCAGGACACCAGGUUUCAUCAUGCCCAAGGAAACCACUUCCGACUGGCGGGAACGAGUCUGCACGCCGCUACAGCUCAACGGUGCCAAGUCAGCCAACCUCCAUGAAGCCCCAGGACCAAACAAAUAACUGUGAGUUGCAUGAGACUGAUUCGACCCCUUCUAGGACUCUCACCCGAGCAACUAGUCUCCUUCAGCUCCCUGGUAGGAUUUUUCUUAAUGGUAACCGCCUUAAAGUUAGAGCACUGGUGGAUUUUGGGGCCGACGAUUGUUUUGUGGACUUGUCGGUCGUUGAAACACUUAAAUGUUUGAUAGUUAAAUUGAGGAAUGCUAACGAGGGAAGGGAUCUUAAUGGGGACCUUAUCGCCACUGUUACACAUGAGACUGAGUCCCUGGGGUUGGUCUUGUCAGGUAACCAUCACGAGACCAGACGUUUUUUUGUUAUGCCAACCCAAUUGCCACCUGUUUUGGGCCUUGCAUGGCUCAAGCUCCCGCCUUCUCUCAGGAUCCACCCUGUUUUUCAUGUGUCAUUACUGAAGCCAGUUUCCUCCAGCCCGCUGAGUCUGUCAUAGGUGCCCCCUCCUCCUCUGCGCCUGGUCUACGGUGCGCCUGUUUUUUCUGUGAGGCCGAUUAUGGACUCCAGAAGAAGGGGCAGGGGUGUACAGUAUCUGGUCGACUGGGAGGGAUAUGGCCCAGAGGAACGGCAAUGGGUUCCUGGAUCCUGGAUCCCACUCUUAACCCCAUCUUCCACUCUCAUCACCCUGAGAAACCUGUCCCUGGGUGCUGGUCAGUGGGCGGAGUCUCCCGCGAUGCAGCUGCUGGUGAUUUGUCAUCAGCAGUGUAUUUAAGCAUGGGAGACGCAGGAGAAGAACGCCAAGAAAUUGUACUUUGCUUGUUGCCAUUGCCUUGCCAGCUUUGUUGCAUUCCAACGUUCAUUCCGUCCUGCCUGGUACUGUAAUGUCCUGGCAUGUGGGCAAGGAAAGCCACAGUCGAUGAUGGACUUUCGGACGUUUAUUGAACGAGACAAACAGUCAAACACACAAAUGCAAAACGAGAACGGGGCUGCUGUAGGUCACCGCUCACGCCCAGACGCUCACGCGCCGACUGACCGACACUAUCUCCUGAUGUCACUCACUCGGUCACGCCACUUAAAGGCACACAACCAACACACGGAUAUCAGAGUACGUACUGUACAGUAAUUACACUGUAUAAAAUCAGUUUAUUCCUUA